AUACUUUCCUGGCAGGGAUGAUGAUACCAUGACCAUGAAGGUGGUUUUCCCAAGAUGAGGCUUAUCCAUUGCACUCCAGAUGUGCUGACCCCUGUGAUUUCCCCAAAUGUGGGAACCUCGAUUACAUAGUUUGUGGUAGUGGGGAACUGCCUUUGUGCUCUCUCCUG